AUUGAACGCUGGCGGCAGGCCUAACACAUGCAAGUCGAGCGAGCGGCGGACGGGUGAGUAAUGUAUGGGGACUGCAAGAUAGAGGGGGAUAACUACUGGAAACGGUGGCUAAUACCGCAUACGGUCGGAUAACCCAUAUGGGAUUAGCUAGUAGGUAAGGUAAUGGCUUACCUAAGCGACGAUCCCUAGCGGGUCUGAGAGGAUGAUCAGCCACACUGGGACUGAGACACGUCCCAGACUCCUACGGAGGCAGCAGUGUGGAAUAUUGCACAAUGGGCGCAAGCCUGAUGCAGCCAUGCCGCGUGUAUGAAGAAGGCCCUAGGGUUGUAAAGUACUUUCAGUCGAGAGGCGUUACCGACAGAAGAAGCACCGGCUAACUCCGUGCCAGCAGCCGCGGUAAUUC
rnacentral:rRNA from 1 species